UGCUGAUUCUAAACAUCAGUCUAGAAAAACAACGUGGCUCUUCUGGAUCGUUGUGUCUCACAUUUCUUCACCUCUUUGGAUCCGAUAUCAUCACAGUGGAAUUCUGCUGGCUGCUUCCAGGGAAAGGAAGGAAAACAUUCUCCACUCAGCUCCUCAUACCUUCUGGGAAGGGUGAUGAAUGGGCUGGUUCUGCCUAAGGGAGUGUGUUUAAGCACAAGUUUCUAGACUGUUCAACACUCUUCAACUGGAAGAGAAAUCACAUGCAGGUGCUGCGAGCCUACACAUGCUGCUAUGUGUUCAGAGAUCCAUUUGCAGCUACGGAAAGCCUGAAUAUGGAUUUAAUUUUGUGCAUUUUCCCUGGAUUUUUGCUCUAGCCAAAGCCUGGCCAUGGCACUGAGCAUGCUGUGCAGGAGAGGGAACUUUCACUUUUGGAUGUCAGAUCCCUGGUUGUGAAGGAUUCCUUUGGUUUUGUGAGUGUGUGGGGUUUGUUGCAUUACAGAGCUUGUUUAGGGAGAUAAUCCACUCAUCAGGCCAAGAACACCUUCUCUCCCUACCAGACAACAAAUUAGUUCUUCCCUUUCUGAGGGAGAUAAAAAGGGAUAUCCUAACCCAGGGGAACAGGGCUGUGGCAUGGGGCUGACAAGCUCAGAUACAAAAGGAGAAGAAGGAAAAAGAAAAACACAUUUGUUGAAGAAUGGCUGCAAAAUCUGAGUGAUUUACUGCAGCAGCUCAUUCAUCAGGGGAAUUUGGCCUUGCCUCACUCUAAUCUAAGUAGAAUCUAAUUUAGAUUCCAAGCAAGGGAUGGGAAUCCUUUCCUGAACCAAAACAAGCCUUGCCACCUCCUACCUUUUCAUUACUCAUUCCUUAAUUUGUUUGGGUUUGUUAUGUAGGACACUCAGGAAGAAUAGCUUAAAGCUCUGUGUGCUGGGCUAGAUCUGAUGUUAUAUUCUCUGCUUUGCUGCACAUGGGAUGGAUUUUUGAUUCAGUUUUGAUGCAGGCUUGGUUACAUGCCUCUGCCUGGGGCCCCCAGGAAGUGGGGUGUGAACAUUUUCCUUUUUUUUCCUGAGUGCUGACUUGCCUGGAGGAGAAAACUGCAGCCUUGGGCUCAAACCAUUUUUGGUUUUCCAUUAAAAACCAGCUCUGCUUAUGCAGAACCAUCAAUCAGAACCCUCAGGCAGAACCCUCCUGGAAGGAGGGACUGGAGGAUGGUUCUCUCUACCUUUGGGGUGUCCUGC